rnacentral:rRNA from 1 species
UACGUAGGUGGCGAGCGUUGUCCGGAUUUACUGGGCGUAAAGAGCGCGCAGGCGGUCGUACAAGUCGCGUGUGAAAGCCCCCGGCUCAACUGGGGAGGGUCACGCGAUACUGUUCGACUCGAAGGCAGGAGAGGGAAGCGGAAUUCCCGGUGUAGUGGUGAAAUGCGUAGAUAUCGUUUGGAACGCCAACGGUGAAAACAGACAGCUGGGAGUGUGCUGACGCUGAGACACGAAAGCCAGGGGAGCGAACGGG